rnacentral:lncRNA from 1 species
CUUUGAACUUUUAUUCAUUAAAGAAGUGAUAACUCAACUUCUACUGUAGGAUGUAUCAGCAGCAGCUGUAAACAUACGUGGCCUAGGAAAGGACAGACAAUCUCCUGAGAAGACAGGGUACAACAUAUUCACACUACAACACAACAGCAAGAGAUUCUACAAAGGACAAGGGCGUUCUCUGCUGGGCAAACCAGUCUUCCAUCUUCGACUCAUCUAUCGAAGCGCAGCUCAGUCGGGUCAGACACUGGGCACCAACUACACCAGGAAUUAUCUUCAGGUAUUCAACCUGAACAUCCGUCGUCAACCCUGAGAUGACUCCUUCGACAGAUGAUCUACUCCGAAGUUCAAAUCACAAAACUUCUGUUGUCUGGAUUCUUUUGGGGCCCACUGCAAUCUUCCUCUGCUCUUCAGAAUUACAAUGAGUCAAAAUAUGACCACUCCUGGUCACUCUGACAGACUUCACUUUUC